CUUAUGGGCUCCACAGCAGCAAGUGUUCCAUCCCUGCCAGGACCCCUACUUGCUGGACCGUUCCUGGCCUCAGCCGUUUUCUGGCGCGUGCUCGGGGUUCUCACCAUCAGACGUUGGAAGUUCAAAGUUCCCAGGAGCCCACGGGCUUCGCCUGCUCCCAAGGGUAGGGACCCAGGGGGAGGGGCGCCCCCGCACCUGAGAAACACCAAGGCCUGAUUUCCCUGGGGCUCACCAGGAAAGGUGAUCCACCGGCCCUGCGCUGGAGACAAUUUACUGGGAGGCGAUCUGACAAGGCAGACACCGGACAAGAGGGACCCAGUACCCAUCAAUGGAAGGGUCCUCCUUGCCCAUGCUCUCUAUAUGAAAUAACUGAUUUUAUAAUUGUUUUUAUGAUUGUUAAACUAUAAUUGUUAUAAUUAAAGUGAUUAUUUGAGGAAUGCACUGAA
rnacentral:lncRNA from 1 species